rnacentral:rRNA from 1 species
UACGGAGGGGGCGAGCGUUGUCCGAAGUUACUGGGCGUAAAGAGCUCGUAGGCGGCUUGUCACGUCGAUUGUGAAAGCCCGGGGCUUAACUCCGGGUCUGCAGUCGAUACGGGCUAGCUAGAGUGUGGUAGGGGAGAUCGGAAUUCCUGGUGUAGCGGUGAAAUGCGCAGAUAUCAGGAGGAACACCGGUGGCGAAGGCGGAUCUCUGGGCCAUUACUGACGCUGAGGAGCGAAAGCGUGGGGAGCAAACAGG